GACGAACGCUGGCGGCGUGCCUAAUACAUGCAAGUCGAGCGAACAGAUGGGAGCUUGCUCCCUGAAGUUAGCGGCGGACGGGUGAGUAACACGUGGGCAACCUGCCUGUAAGACUGGGAUAACUUCGGGAAACCGGAGCUAAUACCGGAUAAUUCCUUUUUUCACAUGAGAAAAGGCUGAAAGGCGGCUUUUAGCUGUCACUUACAGAUGGGCCCGCGGCGCAUUAGCUAGUUGGUGAGGUAACGGCUCACCAAGGCAACGAUGCGUAGCCGACCUGAGAGGGUGAUCGGCCACACUGGGACUGAGACACGGCCCAGACUCCUACGGGAGGCAGCAGUAGGGAAUCUUCCGCAAUGGACGAAAGUCUGACGGAGCAACGCCGCGUGAGUGAUGAAGGUUUUCGGAUCGUAAAACUCUGUUGUUAGUGAAGAACAAGUACCAGAGUAACUACUGGUGCCUUGACGGUACCUAACCAGAAAGCCACGGCUAACUAC
rnacentral:rRNA from 1 species